GGGGGCAUCUCCAGAGCUGCCCUGCGGUGCUUUCUCUGUGUCCAGCUGCAGAGAUGGUGAGUUGAUGCCCAGAAAGGAGAAGGAGCUUGCCCAAGGUCACAUAGCAGAGGAGGAGGGCACUUCUGGCAGUGAGGGAGAAGAAUCACC